rnacentral:lncRNA from 1 species
GAGGGGGCAUUCUAGGCAUUCUAACAGAGAUGACUUUGAGGCCACUUUAACUUCUGGACUGGAAUCAGAUGAUUGAUAUUUUCCUGGCUGCCAGCUCCUGCUUCAUCCUCAAUGGCCAGACUCAUGCCCUUACUGAGAAAAUCUACUAGAAGGAAAGAUCUCCAUGCACAGGCAAAGCACAUGUGGUAUUAGCAAGUUUGGCACCUUUAUGGAAGAGGCAUCAUCAGUUUCAUCAGAAUCAGGGCUUUGAAUCAUGAUUUCAAUCACAAGAUUUUGUCGGGAAAUGGGAGCAGCCUUCCUAGAAACUCUGACCUUGCAGAGGCCUUCUGGAAGCACGUGAUGAAACCUCAGGCAGCUUGUUCUUUUGACAAGAGAAAAAGAAAGCCCAUUGUCAAAACAAUUUGCCAAGCUUGAACAUUUGUGAGCACGAAUGAGUCAUAAAUAAUUGUACAUUUUUUUAAUAUUAUUUCUGUGAAGGAAAUACAUUUUCAAUGCAAUAAAAAUCCAUUACAGGCAC